UGGGGAAUAUUGCACAAUGGGCGCAAGCCUGAUGCAGCCAUGCCGCGUGUGUGAAGAAGGCCUUCGGGUUGUAACGCACUUUCAGCGGGGAGGAAGGCGUUAAGGUUAAUAACCUUGGCGAUUGACGUUACCCGCAGAAGAAGCACCGGCUAACUCCGUGCCAGCAGCCGCGGUAAUUCGGAGGGUGCAAGCGUUAAUCGGAAUCACUGGGCGUAAAGCGCACGCAGGCGGUUUGUUAAGUCAGAUGUGAAAUCCCCGGGCUCAACCUGGGAGCUGCAUCGGAGACUGGCAAGCGUGAGUCGCGUAGAGGGGGGUAGAAUUCCAGGUGUCGCGGUGAAAUACGUAGAGAUCUGGAGGAAUACCGGGGGCGAAGGCGGCCCCCUGGACGAAGACUGACGCUCAGGUGCGAAAGCGUGGGGAGCAAACAGG
rnacentral:rRNA from 1 species